rnacentral:misc_RNA from 1 species
AAAUUGUGUUCUGGAAUGAAAUAAACCAUAUGAAGGGAGAAGAAGAAAAUCAACUAGGGAAUAAAAAACAGAAUUAAAUAUGAACAAUGACCAAGAAAAAGAGCCCAGAAAUUGAAUUACUUGCUUAUUGAUAGCUAGGGAUGGACGAUGGUUAACAACAAUAAGAGAUGAAAUCCAAUUCUUCUAUAUUAUGAUUUAUAAUCAAUUACUCGGCAUUCCUGAAAUCUUUAUUUUUCCUAGUUCUUGUCGGCAUCCAUUGAUGGUGUUCAUUGCUUUCUUUCAUAAGUACCAAGAAAGGAUACAAAGGAGAAUUGAAAUUUUGGGGAAGACGAACAAGAUGAGAGAGGAGAGAAGCGAGUCGUGAGAUUUGGGGUCAAGUUUAUGUAAAAUUAGAGUUACUAUUGUGUAUAAAUACACACACAGAAUGUUAUAUAUAAACUUCCUAUCAAUAACUACCACAUAAUUAAUUCUUUUAAAUAUUUUCUUUAUUUAAUUUGAUUAUAAAAAGUAUGUCUCUAACUGUAAGCUACGCCACACUAAUAUUUUAAACACUUAACUACAUUUAUUUUAUUUUGUUUCACUCCACGUACCAG